rnacentral:rRNA from 1 species
GAUGAACGCUGGCGGCGUGCCUAAUACAUGCAAGUCGAGCGAACAGACGAGGUGCUUGCUCCUCUGACGUUAUCGGCGGACGGGUGAGUAAAACGUGGAUGACCUACCUAUAAGACUGGGAUAACUUCGGGAAACCGGAGCUAAUACCGGAUAAUAUAUUGAACCGCAUGGUUCAAUAGUGAAAGACGGUUUUGCUGUCACUUAUAGAUGGAUCCGCGCCGCAUUAACUAGUUGGUAAUGUAACGGCUUACCAAGGCAACGAUGCGUAGCCGACCUGAGAGGGUGAUCGGCCACACUGGAUGUGAGACUCGGUCGAGACUCCUACGGGAGGCAGCAGUAGGGACUCUUACGCAAUGGACGAGAGCCUGACGGAGCAAAGCCGCGUGAGGGAUGAUGGUCUUCGGAUCGUAAAACUCUGUUAUCAGGGAAGAACAAAUGUGUAAGUAACUAUGCACGUCAUGACGGUACCUAAUCAGAAAGCCACGGCUAACUACGUG